UUAUAUGGAGAGUUUGAUCCUGGCUCAGGACGAACGCUGGCGGCGUGCCUAAUACAUGCAAGUCGAGCGGACAGAUGGGAGCUUGCUCCCUGAAGUCAGCGGCGGACGGGUGAGUAACACGUGGGCAACCUGCCUGUAAGACUGGGAUAACUCCGGGAAACCGGGGCUAAUACCGGAUAAUUCUUUCCCUCACAUGAGGGAAAGCUGAAAGAUGGUUUCGGCUAUCACUUACAGAUGGGCCCGCGGCGCAUUAGCUAGUUGGUGAGGUAACGGCUCACCAAGGCAACGAUGCGUAGCCGACCUGAGAGGGUGAUCGGCCACACUGGGACUGAGACACGGCCCAGACUCCUACGGGAGGCAGCAGUAGGGAAUCUUCCGCAAUGGACGAAAGUCUGACGGAGCAACGCCGCGUGAGUGAUGAAGGUUUUCGGAUCGUAAAACUCUGUUGUUAGGGAAGAACAAGUACCGGAGUAACUGCCGGUACCUUGACGGUACCUAACCAGAAAGCCACGGCUAACUACGUGCCAGCAGCCGCGGUAAUACGUAGGUGGCAAGCGUUGUCCGGAAUUAUUGGGCGUAAAGCGCGCGCAGGCGGUUCCUUAAGUCUGAUGUGAAAGCCCCCGGCUCAACCGGGGAGGGUCAUUGGAAACUGGGGAACUUGAGUGCAGAAGAGAAGAGUGGAAUUCCACGUGUAGCGGUGAAAUGCGUAGAGAUGUGGAGGAACACCAGUGGCGAAGGCGACUCUUUGGUCUGUAACUGACGCUGAGGCGCGAAAGCGUGGGGAGCAAACAGGAUUAGAUACCCUGGUAGUCCACGCCGUAAACGAUGAGUGCUAAGUGUUAGAG
rnacentral:rRNA from 1 species